ensembl:lncRNA
ACUAGAGGCCAUUCUCUCUGGAGCAGGAUGCUGCUUUGUCCUCAGAGCUGUGCUUCCCAGCAUCAGAGUGUCUCUGCCUCUUAAGCCCCCAGGGCGCCCCCUGGCUCAAUCACUCACUCCUGAGGCCCCCUGGGCAAACAUCUGUCAUGACUUGUGUUGCAAUCUGCUUACAGGAACUGUGAGCAUGUGUUUGUGCUGGUGUGUGCAGCAUGGGAGAACUUGGAUCAGUAACAACGCAGACAAGAGCAGCUCCCGUCUUUUCUGAGACCAAGGGAACCAGGCUUCACGGAGGCUGCUUUCUGGGUGCCCUUCCCAGGGAAGCAAAUGAUGAUGAUAAUUAUGGUCAUCACCACUGGUUAUUGACCAUGGAGCGAUUAUAGGAUGCUGCAUGUUACCGGCUACCUCCCUCAUGACACAAGGAGAUACACAGUACUAUCCUCAUACGAACCCAGGAGGAUGUUGCGGCUCGGGAAAUGGGAGAGGGGCAACAGGCGGCCUAUCAAACCCGGCCUCUGGGCCCUCUUCUACUCUGACCUGAGGGAGCUAACUCUGCUGUUGGACAGUGGGGCUCAGAGGAGGCAUUUUAGAGGUUUUGCAAAAAUACUUGGCAGGAAGUGUUCCUGCCAAGUGAAAAAGAGAGUCAGGUUGCUUAAGGAAUGUCAAUCUACUUUGAUUCCAUAUGUAUGCCAGCUCAGUCGCUUCAGUCAUGUCCAACUCUGUGCAACUCUAUGGACAGUAACCCGCCAGUCUCCUCUGUCCAUGGGAUUCCCCAAGCAAGGAUAUUGGAAUAGAGUACCAUGCCCUCCUCCAGGGGAUCGUCCUGACCCAGGGAUCAUACCCCAGUCUCCUUGGCUUCUGCAUUGUAAGUGAAUUCUGUACCAUUGAGCCACCAAGGAAGCCCUUUGAUUCUAUGU